UACGUAGGGAGCAAGCGUUGUUCGGAUUUACUGGGCGUAAAGGGCGCGUAGGCGGUCGUGACAAGUCACUUGUGAAAUCUCCGGGCUUAACUCGGAACGGUCAAGUGAUACUGUCGGACUAGAGUACAGAAGGGGCAACUGGAAUUCUCGGUGUAGCGGUGAAAUGCGUAGAUAUCGAGAGGAACACCUGCGGCGAAGGCGGGUUGCUGGGCUGAUACUGACGCUGAGGCGCGAAAGCCAGGGGAGCGAACGGG
rnacentral:rRNA from 1 species